rnacentral:rRNA from 1 species
UACAGAGGUCCCAAGCGUUGUUCGGAUUCAUUGGGCGUAAAGGGUGCGUAGGUGGUGCCGUAAGUUGGGUGUGAAAUCUCGGGGCUUAACCCCGAAACUGCAUUCAAUACUGCGGUGCUCGAGUACUGGAGAGGAGACUGGAAUUCACGGUGUAGCAGUGAAAUGCGUAGAUAUCGUGAGGAAGGCCAGUGGCGAAGGCGGGUCUCUGGACAGUUACUGACACUGAGGCACGAAGGCCAGGGGAGCAAACAGG